UUUCGCAAUGCCCGAAAGGGUGACGAAGCGACGCCGCGUGGGUGAGGAAGGCCUUCGGGUUGUAAAGCCCUGUCAGGAGUUAUGAAAUGUAAGUGCGAUAAUACCGUGCUUAUUUGACAAAGGCUCCAAAGGAAGCCACGGCUAACUCUGUGCCAGCAGCCGCGGUAAUACAGAGGUGGCAAGCGUUGUUCGGAAUUAUUGGGCGUAAAGAGCACGUAGGUGGAUUUGUAAGUCAGAUGUGAAAGCCUUCUGUUCAACGGAAGAAUUGCAUCUGAAACUGCAAACCUUGAGUGUAGGAGGGGAGAAUGGAACUUCUGGUGGAGCGGUGAAAUGCGUAGAUAUCAGAAGGAACGCCGGCGGCGAAAGCGAUUCUCUGGCCUAUUACUGACACUCAGUGUGCGAAAGCUAGGGGAGCAAACGGGAUUAGAUACCCCGGUAGUCCUAGCUGUAAACGAUGGGCACUAAGUAGAGGGGUUUU
rnacentral:rRNA from 1 species